rnacentral:rRNA from 1 species
AGUGAACGCUGGCGGUAGGCCUAACACAUGCAAGUCGAACGGCAGCACAGUAAGAGCUUGCUCUUACGGGUGGGGAGUGGCGGACGGGUGAGGAAUACAUCGGAAUCUACUUUUUCGUGGGGGUUAACGUAGGGAAACUUACGCUAAUACCGCAUACGACCUACGGGUGAAAGCAGGGGAUCUUCGGACCUUGCGCGAUUGAAUGAGCCGAUGUCGGACUAGCUAGUUGGCGGGGUAAAGGCCCACCAAGUGGACGAUCCGUAGCUGGUCUGGGAGGAUGGUCAGCCACACUGGAACUGAGACACGGUCCAGGGUCCUACGGGAGGCAGCAGUGGGGAAUAUUGGACAAUGGGCGCAAGCCUGGUCCAGCCAUACCGCGUGGGUGAAGAAGGCCUUCGGGUUGUAAAGCCGUUUUGUUGGGAAAGAAAAGCAGCAGGUUAAUACCCCGCUGUUCUGACGGUACCCAAAGAAUAAGCACCGGCUAACUUCGUG